rnacentral:rRNA from 1 species
GAUGAACGCUGGCGGCGUGCCUAAUACAUGCAAGUCGAGCGAACGGACGAGAAGCUUGCUUUUCUGAUGUUAGCGGCGGACGGGUGAGUAACACGUGGAUAACCUACUUAUAAGACUGGGAUAACUUCGGGAAACCGGAGCUAAUACCGGAUAAUAUUUUGAACCGCAUGGUUCAAAAGUGAAAGAGGGUUUUGCUGUCACUAUUAGAUGGAUCCGUGCUGCAUUAGCUAGUUGGUAAGGUAACGGCUUACCAAGGCAACGAUGCAUAGCCGACCUGAGAGGGUGAUCGGCCACACUGGAACUGAGACACGGUCCAGACUCCUACGGGAGGCAGCAGUGGGGAAUCUUCGGCAAUGGGCGAAAGCCUGACGCAGCAACGCCGCGUGAGUGAUGAAGGUCUUCGGAUCGUAAAACUCUGUUAUUAGGGAAGAACAUAUGUGUAAGUAACUGUGCACAUCUUGACGGUACCUAAUCAGAAAGCCACGGCUAACUACGUG